UCUCCGUUGGUGAACCAGCGGAGGGAUCAUUGCUGGAAAACAGGCCCCCGGGCCCUACCCAGAAACCCUUUGUGAACUUAUACCUAAUUGUUGCCUCGGCAUUGGUUGGCUUCCUUGGGAAGUCCCCUUUUCCUCUUUACGGAAAAGGGAGCAGACCGGCCGGUGGCCCCUUAUAAACUCUUUGUUUUUGUAAUGUCAUCUGAGUAAACAACUAUAAAUGAAUCAAAACUUUCAACAACGGAUCUCUUGGUUCUGGCAUCGAUGAAGAACGCAGC
rnacentral:misc_RNA from 1 species